GACGAACGCUGGCGGCGUGCCUAAUACAUGCGAGUAGAACGCACAGUUUAUACCGUAGCUUGCUACACCAUAAACUGUGAGUUGCGAACGGGUGAGUAACGCGUAGGUAACCUGCCUGGUAGCGGGGGAUAACUAUUGGAAACGAUAGCUAAUACCGCAUAAUAUUGAUUAUUGCAUGAUAAUUGAUUGAAAGAUGCUAUUGCAUCACUACCAGAUGGACCUGCGUUGUAUUAGCUAGUAGGUGAGGUAACGGCUCACCUAGGCGACGAUACAUAGCCGACCUGAGAGGGUGAUCGGCCACACUGGGACUGAGACACGGCCCAGACUCCUACGGGAGGCAGCAGUAGGGAAUCUUCGGCAAUGGACGAAAGUCUGACCGAGCAACGCCGCGUGAGUGAAGAAGGGUUUCGGAUCGUAAAGCUCUGUUGUAAGAGAAGAACGGGUGUGAGAGUGGAAAGUUCACACUGUGACGGUAUCUUACCAGAAAGGGACGGCUAACUACGUG
rnacentral:rRNA from 1 species